ensembl:lncRNA
CCCCCCCCCCCCCCCCCCCCCCCCCCCGACUUUGCAGAUCACCUUUAACUGCAGCAGCACAUCCCCUGGUUGGUUUACAGUUAUCCUAAGGAAUUACACCCGGAUCCCCAGGGGUCACUAUAAACCCAAAGGAAGAUGUUCAGGUUCGCAGAGGUGUGGCUGCACUGAAAAACACCCGGGGGUAAAAUUCUAAGCAGAGUUUAGGAGGUUAUUUCAGAGGAGAAACAAAAAAUAUAUACAUGUGGAUUAUGCAUGUGCUCUGCAGGUCUAAGACCAAGCCCAUGGGAUGGGAGCACAGACCUGGAUCUAUCCUCUCUAUAAAGUGAGCUGUGGUCAAUCAGGGAUAUAAUUAGCACCUUAUUAGGACAACAACAACAGACAGCCAUUCUACAGAACCUUCCAUCCAAGAUAGCAUAAGCCACACCCACCCAGUGUAGUGUUCUCUCGUCCCCCGCUAACGCUGGAUAGGCCACAUACAGAGUUGACGAGCCUGCUACACCGCUGGCUAAUACGGCAGGUCAGAGAACUGCCCCAAAGUCAUUCCUAGAGCAGAGCCCUUGAAAAAACAUCCAACUUCGAUUUAAAAAUGGAGAACCCACCCCGAUCCUCAGAAGAUUGUUCCGAUCAUUCAUUCCUCCCACCUUAUUGCCAGUCGGGAUUUGUGUGGCUUCAACUUCCUCCCGUUGGAUUCUGUUCGAGGGAAGAGCCCAUUGGAUUGUGUUCGAGGGAAGAGCCCAUUGUUAAAUAUUUGUUCCCUACGUAGCUGCUGAGGGAGUGUAAUCAAGUCACCCCUUACCCUCCUCUCUGCUAAGCUGACUAGACUGAGUUCUGGAGUCCGUCGCGAUGAGGCAGGUUUUCUAAUCCUUUAAUCAUUCUCGCGGCUCUUCUCUGAACCCUUUCGAAUUCAUCCACUUCCUUCUUGAACCGUGCCCAUCAGAACUAGACUCCAUAUUCCGGCGGCCGUCGCACCAGUGCCAAAUGCAGAAGUAAAAAUACCCUCUCUGCUCCUAUUCAAGAAAACUGUAUGCAUGGAGGUUAAGUAGCAACUUACCAAAAUCGCAGAGACAGGGUUAGAACCUAGGCGUCUGAACUACCUGGUCCCGCUCUCUAAUCUAACCACUAGACCACACUGCUAGUGCAACCCAAAAUCAUGACCAGUGCCCUCCUUUCCCCAGUCCACAUAUCCAAAGUUUCUACUGAACACAACAAGCUCAGGAUACUUGAUCCUGUCUGUGCUUUCCCCAUUCCGUCUUCCCCCUAGUGAAUUGGUCCUGCAGAAUCUCCUUGUGGGAUGGAACGCCGAGAACCCACCACUAAUGCAGAAAUGCUCUUUGCCCUUCCGAGGCUGAAGUUUGAGUCAUCACACGCUUUGAUGCAAACUUCAUCCCCUAGAGGACACAGGCUCUGCUCUCGGUUAUGCCCGUGUAAAUCCAAGGGGCCAGAUUCUUAGCUGGCGUCAACCACUGCUGACGUCAGUGGAGUUAGGUUAUGCUGAUUUGCCCCAGCUGAGAAUCUGACCCAUUGACACCAAUGGAGACACUCCACAUGUAACAGAGCAAACCAAGUCCUGGAGUCUCAUACAAGUCAGCUUCCCAAUGUGCCCCCGCCACGUAUCCCCACAAUGGACCACAGGUUCCAAUUAGUGUUACGUCAUGCAUGUAGGUCAGGUGCAGUUCUCCUCCUCCCCGUGCUGUUCACCUCAAAAGCCUGGCUUAGCUGGGGACAUUCUGGCUUGGUGCAGCAUGCAAUGGGGCUGGUAGGAU